rnacentral:tRNA from 1 species
GCACUAAUAGCUCAGCGUAGAGCGCCGGUCU